ensembl:lncRNA
AGACAGCAGAGCCAGUGUCCCCUGAUCUACCCAGCAGGUGGAGCACUAGCAAGUCUCUACCCAUCCUUUUAACAGACAGCAGAGCCAGUGUCCCCUGAUCUACCCAGCAGGUGGAGCACUAGCAAGUCUCUACCCGUCCUUUUAACAGACAGCAGAGCCAGUGUCCCCUGAUCUACCCAGCAGGUGGAGCACUAGCAAGUCUCUACCCAUCCUUUUAACAGACAGCAGAGCCAGUGUCCCCUGAUCUACCCAGCAGGUGGAGCACUAGCAAGUCUCUACCCAUCUUUUUAACAGACAGCAGAGCCAGUGUCCCCUGAUCUACCCAGCAGGUGGAGCACUAGCAAGUCUCUACCCGUCCUUUUAACAUUUUAACAGACAGCUGGGGUAGUGAUAACAAUAACAUGGAGCAAUAGUCAAGAUUCACAGUGGUUUUAAUAAAGGACUGUCACUCACAUUAUGGGUGGAAUGACUUAUGCAGCCUUUGAAUUGCAGUUCUUAGUCUUUUACAUGUAAGGUAAUUUCAUAUAAAGACAAGUGACUCUUGGAUUGAGAUGGUAGGUACGGUACAUCUCUGUCAACUGUUCACUGUAUGGACCUCAGAAAGACAAGUCCAUAUACACAAUAAUAUUCAUAGUUUUUUUGUCUCAAUGUGUAUUUUUUUUAUUUCAGUAUUGAAAGCACAGAAGCUGAACAUGUCCAUGUGAGUAGUUACGUAAAUGCUUGUGUUUGCUCUCGGUUAUUUCCCUGUUUACAUGCAAUGGAAAGGUCUAGAAUAGCAGCUAGCUCUGCAAUAAAUCAGAAGCGGCAUACAUUAUCCAAGUAAGGAAAUAGUGAAAUCAACAGUCAGUCACAACUGCUGAGCUUUUAUUUAAAUGGAUUUUGUUUCAAUUUCCUGCAUUGUUUAAUGGUUAAAUUACAACUAUAUUCUUUCAAUUUUUCACACUGUAUGUUCUAUAACUUAGCUAUUACCAAUGUUUCAAAUAAACCUUUGCAUUUUUAAAAAAAAUUGGAAACUUGUGGCAGAAAUUCUACAAAUCAUUGGUCACACUAGGAAAAACUUCCCUGACCUCUGUUCCAAAUUCUCCCUCUUUUUUUUCAUUCAACUUUAUAUCAUCGACGUCCAUUGUUUCUCUCACUUCUCUGAAGCAUGGACGAUUACCAAAGGCUCCUUUACUGCUGAUCUGGCGCUGUAAUAUUAGGCAAGUGAAUACGAAAGCGUGUCGGAUCUGUACUACUAACCUGUUGUAAAAUACAAUGUCUCACCGUCGGUAUCGGUAUUGACAUCAGACCGUAUAAAAGAUUUAUA